ensembl:misc_RNA Metazoa_SRP Metazoan signal recognition particle RNA
GCCGGGUGUGGUGGUGCACGCCUGUAAUCCCAGCUACUUGGGAGGCUGAGGUGGGAGAAUCGCUUGAGCCCAGGAGGCGGAGGUUGCAGUGAGCCGAGAUCACGCCACUGCACUCCAGCUUGGGUGAGAGAGUGAGACUCCGUCUCAA